CCUACGGGAGGCAGCAGUGAGGAAUAUUGGUCAAUGGACGAGAGUCUGAACCAGCCAAGUAGCGUGAAGGAUGAAUGCCCUAUGGGUUGUAAACUUCUUUUAUAUGGGAAUAAAACAGGGUAUGCAUACCCUCCUGUAUGUACCAUAUGAAUAAGGAUCGGCUAACUCCGUGCCAGCAGCCGCGGUAAUACGGAGGAUCCGAGCGUUAUCCGGAUUUAUUGGGUUUAAAGGGAGCGUAGGUGGAUUGUUAAGUCAGUUGUGAAAGUUUGCGGCUCAACCGUAAAAUUGCAGUUGAAACUGGCAGGCUGGAGUGCAGUAGAGGUGGGCGGAAUUCGUGGUGUAGCGGUGAAAUGCUUAGAUAUCACGAAGAACUCCGAUUGCGAAGGCAGCUCACUGGACUGCAACUGACACUGAUGCUCGAAAGUGUGGGUAUCAAACAGGAUUAGAUACCCUGGUAGUC
rnacentral:rRNA from 1 species